rnacentral:rRNA from 1 species
UACGGAGGGUGCGAGCGUUGUCCGGAAUCAUUGGGCGUAAAGGGCGCGUAGGUGGCGGGACAAGCGUGCGGUGAAAGCUCGGGGCUCAACCCCGAGUCGGCCGUGCGAACUGUUUUGCUUGAGCACUGUAGAGGCAGGCGGAAUUCCGGGUGUAGCGGUGGAAUGCGUAGAGAUCCGAAAGAACACCGGUGGCGAAGGCGGCCUGCUGGGCAGUAGCUGACACUGAGGCGCGACAGCGUGGGGAGCAAACAGG